GGAGGGGUGGCAGAGUGGUCGAUUGCAACGGUCUUGAAAACCGUCGUCUCGCAAGGGACCGUGGGUUCGAAUCCCACCUCCUCCGCCA
rnacentral:tRNA from 2 species